UACGAAGGGGGCUAGCGUUGUUCGGAAUCACUGGGCGUAAAGCGCACGUAGGCGGAUUGUUAAGUCAGGGGUGAAAUCCUGGAGCUCAACUCCAGAACUGCCUUUGAUACUGGCGAUCUCGAGUCCGGGAGAGGUGAGUGGAACGCGAGUGUAGAGGUGAAAUUCGUAGAUAUUCGCAAGAACACCAGUGGCGAAGGCGGCUCACUGGCCCGGUACUGACGCUGAGGUGCGAAAGCGUGGGGAGCAACAGGAGUUA
rnacentral:rRNA from 1 species